GGGGCUUUAGGGAUUAGGGUACAUUUGUUUCUCAUUCUAUUCCUCUCAGCUGCACCUCUCAAUCUCCCUCACAUCUAACCUUUCAACUCCCUCUCUCUCCCUCUCUCUUUGUCUCACCCUUUUCUCUUGCAGGUGGCUGGCGCGGGAGGAUCGAUGGAGACUGCGACGGGGCUCUACGCGAAGCAGACCCCAAAACUUCGGGCGAGCCUUCUCCCUGACGUGAACCAGACCCCAAAAGCUUUAGGCCACCCUUCUCCCUACGCGAACCAGGUCCCAAAAUCUUCAGGCCGCCCUUCUCCUUGCGCGAACCAGGCUCAUGCAGGCCACCCUUUAACAACAAAACUGCCCGAGUGACAUGAACACAACUGUCGACGCCGAGCCUUGAGCGACCGAGAGAGAUCCUGGGUUUGUGGUUAGAUAUCAUUCUUAUCUCCAAUUCGAGUAUUGAGUCACAAGAUUUCUAAGCAUCCUACUGCCUGCUUACGUCCUUUUUUUCCAUUUCAAAAGUUGAAGUUAUAAUUUUUCUAGGUCAUUGAUGUUCAAAAGCUCAAUAUGCUUAUUAUGAAAUCUCUUCUUGUUCACUUUGAUUUAGUUCUUUUCAUAGACGUUUUCUUUUCUUACAUUUCCAGUACUAGACAGCUAAGGAGAACUUCUGAGAUUAUAUUUAUUGUAGUCCGAUGCUUUUUGUUGAGGGGACAAGCUUCACACACUUCUCAUACACCAUUUGGUUUGUCCUUUUAUGAAUAAUGUAAAAUUACAACAAUUUUAGAGUGACAUUAUUUGUAAGAUCCAUCAAUAGAGUAUCAUAUUGAAAGGUGAUUUGAGUUUUCUUA